rnacentral:rRNA from 1 species
CCUACGGGCGGCAGCAGUGAGGAAUAUUGGUCAAUGGCCGGAAGGCUGAACCAGCCAUGCCGCGUGAAGGUUAGUGCUCUACGGGCGUUAAACUUCUUUCGUGCGGGAGCAAUAAUGGUUACGCGUGUCCACACGAGAGUACCGUACGAAUAAGCAUCGGCUCACUCCGUGCCAGCAGCCGCGGUAAUACGGGGGAUGCAAGGGGUAUCCGGAUUUAGUGGGUUAAAGGGGUGCGCAGGCGGCCUGUUAAGUCAGCGGUAAAAGCCCGGGGCUCAACCCCGGCGGGCCGUUGAACCUGGCGGGCUGGAGUUGGAGAGAGGUACGCGGAAUGCGCGGUGUAGCGGUGAAAUGCUUAGAUAUCGGGCAGAACCCCGAUUGCGAAGGCAGCGUACCGGCACCACACUGACGCUGAGGCGCGAAAGCGUGGGUAUCGAACAGGAUUAGAUACCCGUGUAGUC